rnacentral:rRNA from 1 species
UACGUAGGGUGCGAGCGUUGUCCGGAUUUAUUGGGCGUAAAGAGCUCGUAGGCGGUUUGUCGCGUCGGCCGUGAAAUCUCCGCGCUUAACGUGGAGCGUGCGGUCGAUACGGGCAGACUUGAGUUCGGUAGGGGAGACUGGAAUUCCUGGUGUAGCGGUGAAAUGCGCAGAUAUCAGGAGGAACACCGGUGGCGAAGGCGGUUCUCUGGGCCUAUACUGACGCUGAGGAGCGAAAGCGUGGGGAGCGAACAGG